rnacentral:lncRNA from 1 species
AUUGUGCUGGUUUCAAAACUCUUUGAAUGGGAUUCCAAAUUCAGAUCUAUGUGGCUGCUAUGUGAGCACCUAACUCAGUGAACUGUCACUGAACUCCCAGGGCUCAUUGUUAUUACAUGUUUGUUUGUUGUGUAACAAUUACCUCUUAACCAAAACACUCCACCGUGUAGAAAGGCUUAUGAAGACUCAGGAAAUAAACAACUCACAAGUUCCAGACAGUACCUGAAACUCAGAAAAUUCAUAGUUAUCUGUCUCAAAGCUAUCUAAACAGUAAUGGAUUUGGGAGAGGACACUGUCCCAGUGUGUGAGUUACCUGAAAGGCUCUAGACAGCUCAACUGCCUAUGAGUCACGGAGAGAGCUCCUGGAAGCAGGAUUCCUGAGGAAUUAGCUGUAUUUUGUGGGAUGAUUACUGCUGCUGUUGAUUUCACGUCAUCUAUGUUGCGAUGCUGAGAGAGGCUGAAGGAACAUCUGUCUCCUUAUCACAGGACCAUCAGCUGGGAACAUUCCACACACCUGCCCCUUCCCUUUCUCCAGGAUGCAGCAGGCAUCAAGACACCUCAGGCUUGCUUCAUGCAUUUUCUAAGACCCAGGGCGUUUUCCUACUCAAUCACAACGCUCGCACAUAAAGUAAUCAGCAUUGAUUAGAAGUCAUGGCACAAUACAAAAUGUUUCCUCAGUGCAGCAGCAACAUGGACCCUGGAUCAAACUCAAGUCACAAGACACAGCAGCUCUCACCUUUCCUUGUUGAAGCAUCUGAGCAGAACACAGGUAUCUGGGGAGAUACCUCAAUCAGGUAAAUACCCGACUUGCAUGGGACCUCAGUUCUAUCACCAGGACUCCACAUAAAGGGUUGGAUUGAAUCUUGUUUCUUUAGAGGAUUGAUGUAUCUGUUUGUGACCUUAUGAGCACUCUCCCUGUGGGAGACUUCCUUUCCCCUGUCUCUACUACUCGAUUCACCAGUCGCUGGGAUUACAACUGUGUACAAUAAAGUUAACUCUACAAUAGCUUUUUAUGUGAGUUCUGGGCAUUGAACUCAAGACUUUAUGCUUGCCAGGCAAGCUCUUUAU